GUUCAGUUGUCCAACGACCUUUGCCACCUUUUACGGCCUGUCGUUUUUCUCAGGUGUCUGACCGAUUUACGGAUCGCCGUCACGCUGUCACCGCUUGCUCGCGGUCGCUUUGUUCCUCGGGCUUCGUAGUGUCGCCAAAUCCAAGUGUUGUCACCGUGUCCACCGUUGUGCCGCAUAUAUUUUCUUUUAUACUACAUCGCUGCGGACCGUGUUCCAUUUACCAAUUAAAUUAUUUAUAAGUUAUUGAAUAACGGUUGUUGACGUGGGUCAGAUAAGCCGCACGAACCGCGAUAACAUUUACGCAGGGGUCCAACUGCCGCCGUCACUUGUCUCCCGUAGAAAAACGUCAACUCGUCACCACCUAACACGGUCGUCGGAGACGCGUAAAUAUUGUAUUAUCUUAUUAUCAUUAUAUUUGUAUUAUCAUUCGUGUUGAUAUUAUUAUUUUCUUAUUAUUUGUAAUAUUAUAUUUUGUAUUCCGUUGUGGACUGUUCAAAGAGACGUCUUUGACAGUUAACAAUUUUUUUAUUAUAUAUAGUUUUAUUGGCAAACAAUAAAUUAUUGUGUGUUUUGCCAUACAAUUAAUAUUAUAUUUAAUGGUGUAGUUGAUGUGGUCAAUAACCAACCAACCACUACUUUCAACCUUCUAUAAGUCUUGCCAUUUUAUUAUUAUUGUUGUCAACUCGGUGGUGUAGUCAUUGAGACCGACCACUACGGUUGUAGGAGUUUCAUGACCAAACAAUAGUUAUGAAAAUAAUGAUAUAGAUAAUAGAUGAGGUUAAUCCCACAUAGAAGAACGAUAAAUGGUAAAAUCUAAAGUUUAUCGAUAGAGAAUUUUAUGCAGAUUCCAUUUAAAUGGUCAGUGUAAUGAAUUUUUCAGUAGUUAAAUAGAUAACUUUCAAAAAGCACAAAAAAGCCAAAAAACAAUACAAAAUUAGCUUUAUCAAUAUUAUCAUAUAUUAUAAAUUAAGAUAAUGAAUUAUUAAUUAGUAUAACCAUGGUUUUAGUUUUAUAAGGUUACCACUUCGAAUGUCUGAUAAACAAUUGCGGUUAUGUUCAAUUUUUAAUAUACAAAUUACAGAUUUAAACAGUUCUCUUUAGAUGUGGUCUUCAUCAGUCAUUCUUAUAGUCAUUGGAAACAACCGGUACAAUGUAUCGAUAAAUAAUUGAAACCAUUGCAAAGAACAAGUUAAAUUCAUGCUAUCUACAACAUUCAUAUUCAAAUCUUCAUAACUUAAAUCAUUUAGCAAGAUACAGUAACUGAAGUAUACAUGUAUCCAGGCCAAUAAGGAGAUUAUUCUGUUUGGAAAAACAUCUGAAAAAACUGUUCCUACUAACAUAAUUGUUUAUCCGGUAAAGUAGAAGAGUUCAUAUUAUCUGAAUUACUAUAGUGUGUCACUUUACUAUUAUAAAAGUUAUUUUAUGAAUACUAUCUAUAUUUUAUUAGUCUGUAUAUUACAGCCAUAGCAACACAGGGGAUCAAUGCAAUUUGAUACUGCUAUUAAUUAUGUUCAUAAUUAUUUAAGUUUUGAUUUAACCAAAAACAAUAUUUUUAGAUAUUUAUAGGCAUUGUUACACAUACAAAAUAAGAGAUUUAAAUAAUACAUUCAAUUUUAUAAUAUUCUACUCUUUCUUAUAGAGGAAAGAAAUAAUAUAAAUUUUUAUGUUUAAUCAAUAUACAUAAUACAUUGUCAAAAUGCAUUUAAUGUAUACUUAAAAUCAGUAUUGUAUUCAUUGCUAUCUGGUUAACUGUCUGCUAUUUUAGUGUUCCUGUUUACCUAUGUUUCAUUUUUAUCACAAUAGUUUAAACAUUUUAAAUAACCAGAUAUUCUAUAAUAUUGUUAUCAUAAUUAACAAAUAAAUAAUACUACAUUGGUGAUGGUUAUUUUACAUUUAUAUUCACAAAAUGUAUGCUUAUACUUUUAUUUAUAUGAUUUUGUUUUAUUGUUAUAGUCUGCAAAGAAGAGAUUUCAGAUAAAUUAGUAUAAUAGUGACUAACAUGGACUACUAAAAAAAUAUGUGUUGUUCGCAUACAAACUAAUCUCUAUCCAGCGAGUUGUCCAUAUUACUCUAUUGAUAAAUAUCUGAUAUUUGAUUAUCAAACAUAGUUUGUCGGUUUAAAAUAAAAUAAAAGAAAACUUGAUAUGAAUAUUAUUGUGACUAAUAUUAUUUCUUUUUACUUAACUCUUUAUAAGGUGUAAAAGGUUUUUAUUUAUUGACUUUUUAAUGUAUCAACAAACUAAUUAUUUGUGUUCUUAUUAUUUUUAUACUAUUUAAAUCAAAUUUCAUCUAUAAAAAUAAAAAAAUGGAAAUAGUGACUUCUUGUAUGAUGAAUAUUUACAUUCUUUUAACAAAAUGUUUUGUAUUCAAAUCUUACAAACUUUACAAAUUUACAACUUAUAUUUUUUAAUAUAUAAAUUAAAAUUAAGUCAUUGAAUUUAAUUUCUUAUUUAAUGACAAACAAAAGCAAAAUAUAAAAUAUAUAUUUAUAUUUGGACAAUAUAAUUUUUAAUAGAUAUAUAAAAUAACAGUUUUAUAAUUUAUCCAUAACUUAUAACUGAUGUGUGUAUUAACUUGUGUUAACUUAUACAUUAAAUAUUUAUAGAUUUUAAUCAAGUAAAUGCUAUUUCUAAGAUUUAUUUAUGGUUUAAAAAUUAUGUUGAGUUUACUACUGAUAUUAAUAUGUAUGAAUGUUUUUGAAACUGCAUUAAAAAACGAUAAAAAAAAAAUUACAAAUAAUUGUUAAUGAACAUUAAAUUAAUUGCAUUGCAUCAUAUCCAACAUAUCAUUAUAAAUGAGUACAAACACAUACAUUUUGUGUCAUAUAAGACAUUCAAAAUUAUUAUGAAUUUUGUGUUACACACUACACAGAUUCAUCAGUAUAAGAUCACAACAUACUAUUUUUGGUCAUUUGGGUUUAAGUGUGUGUCAUGGGUCAACUUUAUAGUAUCUCUUUUGAAUAAAAAGGUUGACUGAGUAAUAUUAUAAAAUAUAUAUUUUUUGUUACAUUUGUUACACAGUGUAACUUAGAGCUUUUUAAUAUUUAGAUAUUUUCAAUUUUCAUUCGCGUUUCCUAGGUCACCUGGUGGUCCAACGACAAUUUAUCACAGAAGUUAAAAUGUUCUAAAUGUAAUUCUAAACCAGAAUCAGUUUUUCUUUUUUCCAAAAACUCGUUAUUUCAAAUUUUGGGUUUUCAAAAAUCGUUCGACCUAAGUACGACGUUUAAAAAUCCUUAAUAACAGUUUUUCAAAAAAUCAAAAGCAUACAACUUAUGAAGCUGGUUAUGGGGAUCAAUUUUAUGUCUCACGACUUUCGUCCUAUCUCUCGAGGUUUUCCCGUAAAACACUUCGUAAACGAGAAUUUUCAUUCAUAAGUAGUCAUAAGUUUUUUUAUGACGUAUUUUGUUUAACUAUUUAUUUAAACCUAAGUUUCAUUUAAAUUGGUAUUAUGCAUGUGAAUAGUACUUGGCGACCUAUCAGGAACUUGGAAUAAUUAAUUGUUUUAUCAGUUCUAUAAAAUUUUGUUCAAAUGUAUAUCGAUUGACAAUAUUAUUGAUCUAUUAUGCAUUAUUCAAAAGUUGAUAAUGCAUAGCUUGUUUUAAAUCAAGUUGCAUUGUAACUAUACAGCUAUUGGCUCCAAUCAAUCCAGAAUAUUUGUUGCAUACUACAAUUUUAAGAUUAUUACAUAUUUACAUGCAUGUACUAAGAAUAUUCUUGGACAGAUGACUUGAAGAAUAUACAUAUUGUACUACAAUUGUAUUCAGAAAAAUUGAGAACAAUGUGAAAAUAAAAAAAAUACAGUUAAAAUACUAUAUUGGAUUUUAAUAUUUCAACAUGGAAUAACAUCAAUUAUAGGACAUAGAUAAUCUAGUUAAUUUCAAAGAAGUGUAAAAUAAUCAAACCUGCCCAACUAUGUUCCCGAGGAAAACUAACCUACUAACAAAUAAUAUGUAAAGAAAAUUAAAAAUGAUAAAAAAAAUAUUGUAAGUGCUAAUGUACUGUAAUUUUAAUACUUCAUAUGUAGUUAAAUUUAGUAUGGGGCAGCAACAUCAACCAUCAAAACUUAAAUAGUAGGUAACUAUUAUGUAUUUAAUAAUAAUAAUAAUUAAAAGAAAAUAAUUAAUAGGUUUGUAUAAUUAUAAUAUGUAUAAAUAGAGUAAAUUAAAUUAAUAUUAAAAAAAAAAGAACUUAUGACAUAUGUAUAUUAGUACUUGUUUACAAUGUUUACAUAUACUUAUACCCAAUUUUAGUAUUAAAUAUUAAAAUAUAUAUAUUUUUUAAAUUAUAUUUAUUACUUAACAAUAUACAAAAUAUUGACAUUUUUUUUGUGUAUGGAUGAUGUUGUUUCCUAUAUUUAUUGGUAGUUAUUAUUAUUAAAUUUAUAUAUCCAAGUUUAUAUUUUAUAAGAGCCAUUUUUAAAUGUUACUAUUGUUCUAAGUCUGGAGUUAAUGGAGAAUUUGUUCUGAAUUUCUUGAACACAUGUUUAUCAUUAGUCAUUACUCAUAUUUUGCAUAAUUGCAAAACGAAAAUUUUGACUAAACUGUGUCAUCAAAUUUUUCAUAAUCUUGGACUUAUAAAUGAUAACAUUUUAAAGUGGUCACUAAUAAUAUAAAUCCAAUUAAGUAGGGGUUCAUUUGUGACUGGGGCCCGGUUUUAAUGCAAACAAUUAAUUGUAGAAUAUGAACAUAUUUAUGUAUUAAAAAUAGAUAUAUUGUCUGUGAAUAUGUUAAUGCAUAUAAUUACUUAAAAAAUUAUAUAAAGUAUUUAAAGAUGUAUUUACUAUAAAAAAAUUUAAUAAAAAUUAAUUUAUAUUAUACUUAAACAGAUUAUGAUAUUUAUAUUUUUUUUUUUUACAAAUUAUAAUUAUUACUAAAUUGUGUGUACCUUUAUGGCCUGUAUGUAUAAUUUGAGUUUAUUCAAUAAAUUAUUGUGAAAUAUUUUU